AUCGUUGUAAUAUAGUGGUAAGUAUUCCUGCCUGUCAAGUAGGUGACCCGGGUUCGAUCCCCGGCAACGGCG
rnacentral:tRNA from 1 species